AAACCAACAGGGAUUGCCUUAGUAGCGGCGAGUGAAGCGGCAAUAGCUCAAAUUUGAAAUCUGGCACUUUCAGUGUCCGAGUUGUAAUUUGAAGAAGGUAUCUUUGGGUCUAGCUCUUGUCUAUGUUUCUUGGAACAGAACGUCACAGAGGGUGAGAAUCCCGUGCGAUGAGAUGUCUAGAUCUAUGUAAAGUUCCUUCGAAGAGUCGAGUUGUUUGGGAAUGCAGCUCUAAGUGGGUGGUAAAUUCCAUCUAAAGCUAAAUAUUGGCGAGAGACCGAUAGCGAACAAGUACAGUGAUGGAAAGAUGAAAAGAACUUUGAAAAGAGAGUGAAAAAGUACGUGAAAUUGUUGAAAGGGAAGGGCUUGAGAUCAGACUUGGUAUUUUGUAUGUUACUCUCUCGGGGGUGGCCUCUACAGUUUACCGGGCCAGCAUCAGUUUGAGCGGUAGGAGAAUUGCGUAGGAAUGUGGCUCGGCCUCGGUCGAGUGUUAUAGCCUUCGUCGAUACUGCCAGCUUAGACUGAGGACUGCGGCUUCGGCCUAGGAUGUUGGCAUAAUGAUCUUAAGUCGC
rnacentral:rRNA from 1 species